rnacentral:rRNA from 1 species
GGAAUAUUGGGCAAUGGAGGCAACUCUGACCCAGCCAUGCCGCGUGCAGGAAGACGGCCCUAUGGGUUGUAAACUGCUUUUAUACAGGAAGAAACUUAUCCACGUGUGGAUAACUGACGGUACUGUAAGAAUAAGGACCGGCUAACUCCGUGCCAGCAGCCGCGGUAAUACGGAGGGUCCAAGCGUUAUCCGGAAUCAUUGGGUUUAAAGGGUCCGUAGGCGGGCAAUUAAGUCAGAGGUGAAAUCCCACAGCUCAACUGUGGAACUGCCUUUGAUACUGGUUGUCUUGAGUUACAGUGAAGUAGAUAGAAUAUGUAGUGUAGCGGUGAAAUGCAUAGAUAUUACAUAGAAUACCGAUUGCSAAGGCAGUCUACUAACUGUKUACUGACSCUAAUGGACGAAAGCGUGGGGAGCGAACAGGAUUAGAUACCCUGGUAGUCCACGCCGUAAACGAUGGUCACUAGUUGUUGGGGUCUUGUACCUCAGUGAUUAA